rnacentral:rRNA from 1 species
AACGAACGCUGGCGGCAGGCUUAACACAUGCAAGUCGAACGGGUGUAGCAAUACAUCAGUGGCAGACGGGUGAGUAACACGUGGGAACCUUCCCAGGGGUACGGAACAACUCAGGGAAACUUGAGCUAAUACCGUAUACGUCCGUGAGGAGAAGGAUUUAUCGCCCGUAGACGGGACCGCGUCGGAUUAGCUAGUUGGUGGGGUGACGGCCUACCAAGGCGACGAUGGGGAGGCGAGCUGAGAGGGUGGACGGACACAUUGGGACUGGGACACGGCCCAGACUCCUACGGGAGGCAGCAGUGGGGAGUAUUGCACAAUGGGGGAAACCCUGAUGCAGCAACGCCGCGUGAGUGAUGAAGGUCUUCGGAUUGUAAAGCUCUGUCUUUGGGGACGAUAAUGACGGUACCCAAGGAGGAAGCCACGGCUAACUACGUGCCAGCAGCCGCUGUAA